AAUGGGGGCAACCCUGAUCCAGCCAUGCCGCGUGAGUGAAGAAGGCCUUCGGGUUGUAAAGCUCUUUCGGCCGGAAAGAAAUCGUGCAGGCUAAUACCCUGUAUGGAUGACGGUACCGGAAGAAGAAGCACCGGCUAACUACGUGCCAGCAGCCGCGGUAAUACGUAGGGGGCGAGCGUUAAUCGGAAUUACUGGGCGUAAAGCGUGCGCAGGCGGCUUUUAAGUCAGAUGUGAAAUCCCCGGGCUUAACCUGGGAACUGCAUUUGGAACUGGAAGGCUAGAGUGUAGCAGAGGGGGGUAGAAUUCCACGUGUAGCAGUGAAAUGCGUAGAUAUGUGGAGGAACACCGAUGGCGAAGGCAGCCCCCUGGGCCGAUACUGACGCUCAUGCACGAAAGCGUGGGUAGCAAA
rnacentral:rRNA from 1 species